rnacentral:sRNA from 1 species
UUGCUUUAAAACAAUUGGUGAAUGAACAAUUAUUGGCAGACCAUAUUGAGUCUUCUGUUAGCCCCUAUAAUACCCCCAUCUUCGUCAUAAAAAAGAGAAGUGGGAAAUGGAGAUUUCUCCAGGAUUUAAGGAAGAUUAAUGACAUCCACCCCAUGGGGCCCUUGCAGUGUGGUCUGCCUAAUCUGAAUGUGAUCCCCCAUUCUUACCAAUUGGCUAUCAUAGAUUUGCAAGAUUGCUUCUUCUCCAUCCCCUUACAGGAGAAGGAUCAUAAAUUCUUUGCUUUCAC